rnacentral:ribozyme from 1 species
AGAAAAAACAACAACCAAAAAAAAAAAAAAGGCAACGACUUCAUGCAACACCGUCAUUCAUAUUCGUAUAUUCCACGGUUGUGUGAGGUUCGUUUGAUUUCAUGUUUUUGUUU